rnacentral:rRNA from 1 species
CAGAAACUUAAAGGAAGUUGACGGGGCCCGCACAAGCGGAGGAGCAUGUGGUUAAUUCGAUGAUACGCGAGGAACCUUACUGGGCUCGAACGUAAGAUGACUGUAGGUGAAAGCUUACAUCUCUUCGGAGCAUUUUACGAGGUGCUGCAUGGUUGUCGUCAGCUCGUGCCGUGAGGUGUCGGGUUAAGUCCCAUAACGAGCGCAACCCUACCUUUAGUUGCCAUCAGGUAAUGCUGGGGACUCUAAAGGAACUGCCUACGCAAGUAGUGAGGAAGGCGGGGAUGACGUCAAAUCAGCACGGCCCUUACGUCCAGGGCUACACACGUGCUACAAUGGCCGAUACAGAGGGCAGCUACCUGGUGACAGGAUGCAAAUCUCCAAAGUCGGUCUCAGUUCGGAUCGGAGUCUGCAACCCGACUCCGUGAAGUUGGAUUCGCUAGUAAUCGCGCAUCAGCCAUGGCGCGGUGAAUACGUUCCCGGGCCUU